GAUGAAGAACGUAGCGAAAUGCGAUACGUAAUGUGAAUUGCAGAAUUCAGUGAAUCAUCGAAUCUUUGAACGCAUAUUGCGCUCUCUGGUAUUCCGGAGAGCAUGCUUGUUUGAGUAUCAGUAAACACCUCAACUCCCUUUUCUUUUUUGAAAUGGGAGCUGGACUUGAGUGAUCCCAACGCUUUUCUCACCGGAAAGUGGCGGGUUACUUGAAAUGCAGGUGCAGCUGGACUUUUCUCUGAGCUAUAAGCAUAUCUAUUUAGUCUGCCUAAAAACAGAUUAUUACCUUUGCUGCAGCUAACAUAAAGGAGAUUAGUUCUUGUGCUGACUGAUGCAGGAUUCACAGAGACAGCUUCGGCUGACUUUGUAAACUCGAUCUCAAAUCAAGUAAGACUACCCGCUGAACUUAAGCAUAUCAAUAACGGAGGA
rnacentral:misc_RNA from 1 species